rnacentral:pre_miRNA from 1 species
AAAAUACUCCAUCCGUCCCAAAUUACUUUUCGGAGAAAUUGAUGUAUCUAGACGUAUUUUUAGUUCUAGGUACAUCUAUUUCUGUGACAAAUAAUUUGGGACAGAGGGAGUAGUAU